GACGUGCUAAUCUGCGAUAAGCGUCGGUAAGGUGAUAUGAACCGUUAUAACCGGCGAUUUCCGAAUGGGGAAACCCAGUGUGAUUCGUCACACUAUCAUUAACUGAAUCCAUAGGUUAAUGAGGCGAACCGGGGGAACUGAAACAUCUAAGUACCCCGAGGAAAAGAAAUCAACCGAGAUUCCCCCAGUAGCGGCGAGCGAACGGGGAGCAGCCCAGAGCCUGAAUCAGUGUGUGUGUUAGUGGAAGCGUCUGGAAAGGCGUGCGAUACAGGGUGACAGCCCCGUACACAAAAAUGCACAUACUGUGAGCUCGAUGAGUAGGGCGGGACACGUGGU
rnacentral:rRNA from 2 species